rnacentral:lncRNA from 1 species
UGUAUUUGAGGCUAGUUAACAUUGAAGAGAUGGAGGAGUGGCUUUCUGAACUCCUUUGUGAAAAGGACAACAUUGCAUGACGUAUGGCGGAUUUUCUUGUGAAUGGCAAUGUGGUAUAAAACGGGAUUGUCGGCCAUACGAAGUAUAAUUAAACCACUGGCUAGGAGGAUGCCGUCCUACGGGGACGCUGCUAGCAGUCAAGUUCACAUGAGUGAAAGAGACAUUCAUGCAACUACUUGGGGAGCUUUCUUUUUGGGAUAUCAAGUGCUUAUCUGCAACUAGUUCGAACUUGGAAGAACUAUUUUUACAAGUCCGAAGGGUAACGAAGUGUGGAGAGCAACACGGUCACUCCAUAACCGACAUUGUGAUUUGCCAUGUGGCCCAUUGUAAUGUGGCCCAUUGUAAGCCAUAUGGAUGACCGGUUAGUUGAGUCUAUAAAUAGUAGAUCUUAGUGUGGUGUUGCAAAGCAUGAUGGGUGAGAGUUGUACCAGUGGUAUGUAUGGAGAGCAACACGGUCACUCCAUAACCGACAUUGUGAUUUGCCAUGUGGCCCAUUGUAAGCCAUAUGGAUGACCCGGUUAGUUGAGUCUAUAAAUAGUAGAUGUUAGUGUCGUGCUGCAAAGCAUGAUGGGUGAGAGUUGUACCAGUGGUAUGUAUGGAGAGCAACACGGUCACUCCAUAACCGACAUUGUGAUUUGCCAUGUGGCCCAUUGUAAUGUGGCCCAUUGUAAGCCAUAUGGAUGACCGGUUAGUUGAGUCUAUAAAUAGUAGAUCUUAGUGUGGUGUUGCAAAGCAUGAUGGGUGAGAGUUGUACCAGUGGUAUGUAUGAUGUGAAAGAGAGAGGUGGAUGUGAUUUAGAUAAAGUGUGUUGUUUCUAGAGAAUGUAUGUAUGUGAAAGUGUGAGCAUGUAUUGAUUUAGAGUGACAUUUAAGUGUGGGUAUAAUAAAAACAUAAGUGUUUCUCUCUCGGAGUCCAAUUUAUUGUGUGCAUCUUUUCUACAAUUGGUAUCAGAGCGGC